UUGGAGUGUCCAUGACCACAAAGCUGAGGCCCAGGCUCAGAAGUAGCAGCUGUGCAAACUGUGAUGUCUAGUACAUACAAGAGGCAGCAGUGGGACCAUCAUCAGAUGAACUCUGUGUUUACUGGACAUCAUUCACAGAAGCCGAGGGUUAAGCAAUUGACUAUCAAUCAAUAAUCUUUUAUGAAAGAAGAGAUGGUGCAGCACACGCAUGCCCAAUAUUAAGAGAGAGAAGACAUUUAUUGAGGCAAGCAGCUGGAGUGGACCUGCCCCCAUCACCAGGCCAGCUUCCCACCUGCACGUGCAGCUCUUUCUUCUUUUGCAGGAGGCUGGCUCUGCUCAUUAGACAUGCAACAAAGAGCUGGCCUGUGGAGCACACAUCCAUAUUCAUAACUCAAGUCAGCUGGAAAGUUGUACAUUUUUCUUUCUGGGAAGUCAUGGCGACAAAGACUGAAGACCCAGGCAGCACAAAUGUGAAUGAUGGAUCUCUUGGAAGAACAACAAAGACUGAAGUGAGUAUAUUUUAUGCUUGGAAAUGAGCAAAUCAUUCCUUUUGACAAGCCAUUGAUGUUGGGGUUCCAUGGAAAAGAGAAGGAGGUGAACAAAAGGAAGAAAUGCAGAGAAAAAUAUGGAAUAGAAAUAUGAGGGAAGAUAUUAGCAAACUGGCUACAUCUUUUAUGACAAACUCAACUGAUUACAUCUUUUCCAAGAACAUCUUCAGAGGUUUGCUGGAGUUUGGAUUUACUACUGAGUCAUAUUUGGAGCAUGCUGGAAUCUUACAACUGAGAUUACCGAGUCAGAAACUGUUGUUUUUGUUGUAAGAACACUCAACAUGGC
rnacentral:lncRNA from 10 species